ensembl:lncRNA
AGGACAUCUCCUCACCCCAUAGCGCCCCAUAGGACCUCUCCCCCCCCCAAUACCAGGUCCAUGUGCUUGAGGCUGUCCAUAGGGCAUCUCCUCACCCCCAUACCGCCCCAUAGGGCAUCUCCUCACCCCCAUACCACCCCAUAGGGUUCUUCCUCCACCCCAUACCGACUCAUAGGGCAUUUCCUCAACCCAUAGCGCCCCAUAGGGCCUUUCCUCAGUCCCAUACCACCCCAUAGGGCCUUUCCUCACCCCUAUACCGCCCCAUAGGGUUCUUCCUUCACCCCAUAGGACAUCUCCUCACCCCAUAGCGCCCCAUAGGACAUCUCCCCCCCCCCAAUACCAGGUCCAUGUGCUUGAGGCUGUCCAUAGGGCAUCUCCUCACCCCCAUACCGCCCCAUAGGGCAUCUCCUCACCCCCAUACCGCCCCAUAGGGCAUCUCCUCACCCCCAUACCACCCCAUAGGGUUCUUCCUCCACCCCAUCACCUCGUAGGUCAUCUCUUCACCCCCCUACCACACUAUAGGGUUCUUCCUCCACCCCAUACCGCCCCAUAGGGCAUCUCCUCAUCCC